rnacentral:rRNA from 1 species
GGUGAACCUGCGGAAGGAUCAUUGUCGAAACCUGCCUAGCAGAACGACCAGCGAACAUGUUUUACUAUCUCAAACGUUAGAUAACUGUUGGUAGCCUUGUGCUACCGCACUACCCUGCUUGAGCCGAGGAGAGACUCAUUGUGGGUUUUUCCUUGGCAUCUAAACGAACCCCGGCGCGGAAAGCGUCAAGGAACAUAACUAUAUAUGAGUUCCCUCCUAAUGCCCGGUUAGCCGGUGCACGGGUGUGGUGCCAUGUCAUAACAUUAAACGACUCUCGGCAACGGAUAUCUCGGCUCUCGCAUCGAUGAAGAACGUAGCGAAAUGCGAUACUUGGUGUGAAUUGCAGAAUCCCGUGAACCAUCGAGUUUUUGAACGCAAGUUGCGCCCGAAGCCUUUGGCUGAGGGCACGUCUGCCUGGGCGUCACGCAUCGCAACCCCUACAACCACUCUAUGAGGGGGAGGAUGGUUUCCCGUGCCUCACCGGGCGCGGUUGGCCUAAAUAAGGAGCCUAAGGCAUCGAGUUGCUACGGCGAUAGGUGGAGAACAAGGCUUUGGUCGUGCAAUCAACCAGUCGUGCAACUCUUUGACGGUAUGUGCUCGUAGGACCCAAUGAUGUUGCCAAGUGCGACACAUACGUUGCGACCCCAGGUCAGGCGGGGCUACCCGCU